CUUAAAACGGCCGGCAACACCAGAACCAGUAGUCUGCAGAGCCUGCACAGAUUCUGUGGCCAUCUCAACCUCAACCCAAACAUGAAACUCAUCGCUCUCCUCUUCCUGACAACCCUGGCAGGGGUGCUGGUCUCUGCCCAAAACACCACGGACGCUGCUCCUGCUGAGACCACUGCCGCAGAGACCACCGCAGCUGCUGCAACGACCGCCGCAGCAACGACCGCCGCAGCAGC